UACGUAGGAGGCAAGCGUUUGUCCGGAAUUACUGGGCGUAAAGCGCGUGUAGGUGGUGGGACAAGUCUGCUGUGAAAGCGCCUGGCUUAACCGGGCGAGGUCGGCGGAAACUGUCCGACUAGAGGACGGUAGGAGGGGGGUGGAAUUCCCGGUGUAGUGGUGAAAUGCGUAGAGAUCGGGAGGAACACCUGUGGCGAAGGCGGCCCCCUGGGCCGGCCCUGACACUGAGACGCGAAGGCGUGGGGAGCGAACGGG
rnacentral:rRNA from 1 species